CCUACGGGAGGCAGCAGUGGGGAAUAUUGCACAAUGGGGGAAACCCUGAUGCAGCGACGCCGCGUGCGUGAUGAAGUAUAUCGGUAUGUAAACCUCUAUCAGCAGGGAAGAAAAUGACGUUACCUGAUUAAGAAGCCCUUGCUAACUACGUCCCAGCAGCCGCGGUAAUACGAAGUGGGCAAGCGUUAUGCGGAUGUACGGGGGGUAAAGGGAGCGUAGACGGUAGACCAAGUCUGGGGUGAAAUGCACGGGCUUAACCCCGGAACUGCUUUUGAAGUUGUCAACCUAGAGUGCAGGAGAGGUAAGUGGAAUUCCUGGUGGAGCGGUGAAAUGCGUAGAUAUUAGGAGGAACACCAGUGGCGAAGGCGACUAACUGGACUAUAACUGACGCUGAGGCUCGAAAGCGUGGGGAGCAAACAGGAUUAGAUACCCGUGUAGUC
rnacentral:rRNA from 1 species